ensembl:lncRNA
ACAGGCCUUUCUCUGUGGACCACUUUGAUGACUACCAGAAGCACUUCACUGUCGUGAACUUGCAGAGGGGGUCCAGCUCAAACAGAGGAAGUGACACGGGACUAUGCUUAUGGCAAGAGCAACCAUCUGGUGAAGAGAUGUCGAGUGUUGCAAUGGAUACCAGCUGACUUGGAAGGGGUCAGCACUCAGACCCCUGAACCCUCUGAUCUCUACUACGAAGUAGGGAGACCUGAAACAUGUUUCAUGUGUCAAUACAG